AAAAUAAAAAAAAAGAUCGAACAAUUUUGUAAACUUUGACAAUGAAGAUACUUUAAAUUGAUUAAUUUUUCUAACCAUAAAAAAUUGAAAUAAUAUUUUUUAGGAAAAUAAUUUCCCUGCGACAAAAGGGUGCCUUGAUUAGUACAGAUUCUUACGGUAUUGCCUAGGAAAGGACGAUUCCAGCGGAGUUAUACAUGGUGCUUGCCUGAAUGGAG
rnacentral:misc_RNA from 1 species